GAUGAACGCUGGCGGCGUGCCUAAUACAUGCAAGUCGAACGGACAGACGCUGCUCUUGCGGGGCGCUCGUGUGCCGCACACGUGUGAAAAACGCGUGUAUCACCUACUUGUAUUUCGGAUAACACUUCGAGAAUGCGGCUAUUAUAGCAUAGAAGCUAUUGAUGCAUAGUGUGCGUUGGAAAGUUUCGGCGGUUGGGGAUCGUCUCGCGGCUUCUCAGCUUGUUGGUGGGGUAGUGGCUUACCAAGGUUUUGACGGGUAGCCGGCCUGAGAGGGUGACCGGCCACAUUGGGACUGAGAUACGGCCCAGACUCCUACGGGAGGCAGCAGUGGGGAAUAUUGCACAAUGGGCGGAAGCCUGAUGCAGCAACGCCGCGUGCGGGAUGACGGCCUUCGGGGUGUAAACCGCUUUCGCCUGUGACGAAGCGUGAGUGACGGUAAUGGGUAAAGAAGCACCGGCUAACUACGUG
rnacentral:rRNA from 1 species